CUUGGGUGGAGAAGGGUGUGAUUUUCUGAAUCUUCUCUUGACCUUCCCCAGAGAAGUGACAGGAAUUAAUUGGUUCCAGACUUUCCUUAGUUCUCGAACCUGCUCUCAGAAUAAGGAUUUAACAGUAUCCAUAAAGCACAGAGGGAAUUGCUAUUGCAGAGCACACCCAACCCUCCUCCCAAUGGCACCCAUGAGAAAGGGUGCCACCCUUCCAAGAGCCGCCGAGGAGCCUCACACAACAUGCAAGAUAAGUGAGACCAGCAGCCAUUGCCAGGCUUGCCAUUUCUCCUCCAAUGUCUGGACUCCCGUGCCUAUUAUCAGCGAUGCAACAUAGAAAUCCAACAGCCUCUGGAGCGCUUGUUAUCGGAGAGAGGAAGCACCUGAAAUCCACGGGUCUCUUGAGGGUGAAGAGAACAAAAAGCAGCUCAAGAAGUUCGGGAAGACUGGAGUUCACAAGCAAAUUCAAACGGAGCGUGUGAAUUUCAGGGCAAGAUAAUUAAAACAGCCUGGAUUAGGCGGGCUUUGUGAGCUGGGCUCUUCUGAGCGUCUGUUUUGAGGUUGUUACUUGGUUUUAAAUAAAGGAACCUAGAGUCGUUUGCGGCUUCUGAUCCUGGCACGCAAACAGAACAGCCCCAGUGCUGUUUGUUAACUGUGAUUUGCCACUGAGAACGGUUCCUUCAAAGAGCAGCAGAUUCCACGCCCCCGGUGCCACCAUCACCUUUUGCCUCCACAAGACCGAAUGGGAAGCUGUUCGAUUAGAUUCCUCAGCCAGGCGCACGCACUCGCUCCAAGACAGUCAAAAUUGCAGCCAGAUGGAGGGAGCCAAGGUGGAAGAGAAAGCCUUUACCUUAUUUCUCCAAGCGGAGGCGCGCGGACAUUAGGGAAGCUGAGAUGUCCCAGCAAGGCGAUUAGAAACGGAACAGGCAUUUCGCACCGGAGGCUACUAGCUGUUUAGCCUCUUACUGUGCUUCU